GGCACUUUGCCGGAGUGGUUAACGGGUUGGCCUGCUACAAGCACCGAUCAGAGCCUUGCUUACGUAAGCCAAUGCACUUGUGCGCCAGAGUUCGAAUCUCUGAGGUGUCG